rnacentral:lncRNA from 1 species
UUGGAUCUCCCUGCAGUCCAAGGGACUCUCAUGAGUCUUCUCCAACACCACACUUCAAAAGCAUCAAUUCUUCGGUGCUCAGCUUUCUUCACAGGUUAGGAGGGAACAAAUGUGGAAAUAGGUUCUGUCAUUACUGUGCCUCCUUACCUUAAAUCCUCUCAUGCAUUUACUCCCAGCCCCAUGAUUGGUGUUAACAACUUGAUGGUUGUGAUCUUUUAGUAUAUAUUGCUUGUCAGCUUUUGAUUGACAAGUAUUCCCAGGCUAAACACAACUGAUGAGCUCUGGUGAAGUAUAGUAUAGAAGGAAACAGAAAUGCCAGAAUCCUGUUAGCCCUCCUGUGUGUGGUCACUGAGGGGCAAAAAUGGUAUCAAUGGAAAGGCCAGGUGCCACUGAGAGUCCCUGGAAUUUGGAUGCCAACCCCAUGCAGACAAAUAUCAACACACCUAUAAAAUGGACUUAUCCAUAAAGAAAAGUUAUUUUUCUCAAGUGUUAGAAUUUAAGAAAUUUAAAUAUCUCAGAACAAAAAGGCACUUGAGGACAUGGGCCUUUUCAUCCCUGUUGCUUGGGAUUUAGAGAAAAGCUAAAUCAUGGCACCAUUAGAAAGGGAAUCAGAAGUAGGAAGAGGAGGCAAGAGAGAAGGAGUGAGAGUGUCUGGCUGGAGCUAGCCUGAGCCUGUCAGAGUCAAGAGUAAGUCUGGGAGAAAUAGUUGUGUGUCCUGAAGGGCAGGGAGAUGGUAUGUACUAGAGUAAAAAGUUAGAACCCCAGCUGCCCACCAGAGUGCACUUUCUUUGUAACCUCUUGAAAAGUUGCAUCUCUAGAAAACACCCUAAAUGAUAUUUCUGAAAUGAAACCAAUCAAACCAGACCUUGAACUUCCCGAGCAUCUGAGACCUUGUCAUCCGCUCUGGGUUUCUGCAGUCAGAUCAUUGUCAUAGGAGACUGCAAACUGGCCAAAAUACUUUCCCUUAUCUACUCAGUCUCCUCAACUGUUAAAUGAACUCUACUGAAUCAUCUCCAAGGUCCAUUCAUGCUCUGCUGUGCAUUUUCCAUGAUUUACUAGAAUCAUGUUUACUAGAGUCGGUAGGGCAGGCAUUUACCUACUCCCUGUGGAAUCAAUGGAAAACUCCUGGACACUCAUCCUGCCCUAAUAGAUGCAGUGGGACCCAGACCCAAGUAGCAUGUGAUCACAAUUAACCAGAAAGCUACAGGACACAGGGCUGGGAGUAGCUGAAUUUCUGAACUUGCAAAAUGUCUCCUUUUUUCCUCAAAGCUCAUAUUUCAGAGACCCUUAAGUAUGAAUUCUCUACUGUAAAAGCAUUAACAAGGAUUUUGUUUUCUGUCCUUUUGUAACUCUCUUAUUCCUCAUCUAUUUUGGAAGCUCCAUGUCAUCUUUCCCUCUUCCUUUGUGUCUGUAUCUGACACAUAGCAUGCCAGCAUAUGACAUGUUCUGUGACAUCGUGGAUGAGAUGCAGAUUUUACUGGAAAGCACCCAGGCUGUGAAUAUUCCCUUCACCCUCGUCCUCCCUUAGAGACACUGACAUGCACAGGCUGCAGUGUUAUAUAAAGUUAGGUUGGAGGCUGGCCCUUUACAAGUAGAUGAGGAGCAGGGCACUCAGGAUACCCUGAGUUGUAUAGAAACAUAUUCAGGUCAGGCAUGACUGCAGGACAUGCACCAAGCAGGGGCUCUAGCAGAGGAGCCACUUCCCACUCCCCUGUGUGUUUACAGACAGGAGGCAGGAGCUGGCAGAUGCCUAAGAAACAAGGACAGUGUCCUAGGUGAGUUUCUAUGUGUGACCUGAGAACCCCAGAGCCUACCUCCAUGUCAAGCUCUUCUCCCUGUGAUCUAACUCAAACUUGCUUAUUGCUAAGCUACCAAGAAGGAAGGAGGUGGGCACUGAGGAUGAGUGCCCAGGGACAUUGGUCCAUGUCAUUCAUCCCAAAUUCCAAUGUAUUUUCUCUUUUAGCAAGAUGACACUACUAUGUUGCAAAUUCCCACCCCCUCCUUCUUGUAAGGGAUUCAAGUCAAUGCCUCCAGGAAGCCAC